ACCGUGGGUUGCACCGUUGUGGAGCACAAUUGUUUAUUGCACUAACAGCGGACUUGCCCGUGGGAGA
rfam:Trypanosoma cruzi marinkellei strain B7 TcMARK_CONTIG_1549, whole genome shotgun sequence.